UUAUUUAAGGGGGGCUACAAAUUCUAGAACUAACAUGAUUUCUCUGCAUGUAUGUUUGUUUGCAUAAUGAGCCCCUUAUUUUUAUACUUGGUCAAAAGUACUAUAAGCCCACUACACUUUUUCAUGAGAGUGGGAUGUAUGAUUGUUUAUAUGAUGAGCCCUUUAUUUUCAUAUUGGGACAAAAAGUCACUUCAUUCAAAACGUCAAACACCACAUUCUUUCUGCCCUGAGUGUUUGUUGCAGAGAAUUUAUGUUGUAAAUUUAGAAGAGAGCAAAAUUUAUAUUUUCAGUGUUCCAACACAUGC